UUUACGGAGAGUUUGAUCCUGGCUCAGGACGAACGCUGGCGGCGUGCUUAACACAUGCAAGUCGAACGAUGAAGCUGGAGCUUGCUCCGG
rnacentral:rRNA from 1 species